rnacentral:tRNA from 1 species
UUGGCCUGAUAAUACAUCUGAUUGCAAAUCGGAUUUUUAGCCUCAUGGCUAUUAGGCUU